rnacentral:misc_RNA from 1 species
GAUGAAGAACGUAGCGAAAUGCGAUAAGUAGUGUGAAUUGCAGAUUUCAGUGAAUCAUCGAAUCUUUGAACGCACAUUGCGCCCGCCAGUAUUCUGGCGGGCAUGCCUGUUCGAGCGUCAUUUCAACCCUCAGGGCCCUUUUGGACCUGGCGUUGGGGCUCGGCCGCUACCCUGCGGCCGUCCCCGAAAGAUAGUGGCGGUCUCGCUGUAGCCUCCUCUGCGUAGUAGUUACAUCUCGCACUGGAACGCGGCGCGGCCAUGCCGUUAAACACCCCACUUCUCAAGGUUGACCUCGGAUCAGGUAGGAAUACCCGCUGAACUUAAGCAUAUCAAUAAGCGGAGGA